GACGAACGCUGGCGGCGUGCUUAACACAUGCAAGUCGAACGGAAAGGCCCUGCUUUUGUGGGGUGCUCGAGUGGCGAACGGGUAAGUAACACGUGAGUAACCUGCCCUUGACUUUGGGAUAACUUCAGGAAACUGGGGCUAAUACCGGAUAGGAGCUCCUGCUGCAUGGUGGGGGUUGGAAAGUUUCGGCGGUUGGGGAUGGACUCGCGGCUUAUCAGCAUGUUGGUGGGGUAGUGGCUUACCAAGGCUUUGACGGGUAGCCGGCCUGAGAGGGUGACCGGCCACAUUGGGACUGAGAUACGGCCCAGACUCCUACGGGAGGCAGCAGUGGGGAAUAAUGCACAAUGGGCGGAAGCCUGAUGCAGCAACGCCGCGUGCGGGAUGACGGCCUUCGGGUUGUAAACCGCUUUCGCCUGUGACGAAGCGUGAGUGACGGUAAUGGGUAAAGAAGCACCGGCUAACUACGUG
rnacentral:rRNA from 1 species